rnacentral:miRNA from 14 species
AUCCCGGACGAGCCCCCAAAUGAAAGAUCCCACGCAGAGAGAGACCCUUACUCAAGUCUCGGGAAAUCGCGGACCCCAGACACAGAGAGACCA